AUUAGUCUAUCAGUAUCUAUCUAUCUAUCUAUCUAUCUAUCUAUCUAUCUAUCUAUCUAUCUCUCUAUCUCUCUAUCUCUCUAUCUCUCUAUCUAUCUAUCUAUCUAUCUAUCUAUCUAUCUAUCUAUCUAUCUAUCUAUCUAUCUAUCUAUCUAUCUCUAUCUAUCUAUCUGUUUCUAUCUAUCUAUCUAUCUAUCUAUCUUUCUCUCUACUGUCGGUCUAUCUGUCCCUCCUUCUGUCUGUCAGUCUGUGUGUCUGUGUGUCUGUCUGUUUGUGUGUCUGUCUGUCUCUCCGUCUCUCCGGUAUCCAUGCAGUCAGGUGAGCAGGAGGUACGGGCCUCCUCGAGCGGACGGUAACCGGAGGGUCUCCGACCGGGCCGCGCUGAUCCUGACGCCAUUGCGUCCCAUUGGAGAAUUCAAGAAAUUAACUUCUGCACGGGGCCGCGGGACGCACGGGGCCGCGGGACGCACGGGGCCGCGGGACGCACUGGCCAUCGAGCAGCGCUCUCAAACGAUCCCCGGCAGAUUUGCGGACAUUUGAACCUCAUCUCGAGCAGACCUACACUACAUCUGAACCUCCUGAAGAACGGUUCACUAGGCCUAUACUCCAUCUGAACCUCCUGAAGAACGGUUCAGUGGGCUGUAGGCCUACACUCCUGGUUUCCGAGUAGGCCGUAGUCCUAUGCCACAACAUUCCUGAAAAAGAAUCACAACUAAAUAUGGUGAGCGAUAAGGAACGAAUGUUUAUUUGUGUUUAUUCGUUUAGUACUGUGACUAACGCCUGUUUCCAAAAGGCCAACUAUGCUGUGGUGAGCGGAGAAGAACGUAACGAGAAGAACUGAACCAUGCUAUGGUGAGCAGAGAAGAACGUGACGAGAAGAACGCAACCCUAUUGCGGUGCAGAGAAGAACGUAACAGACGAGAGGUGAGGAGCUGCUGAUCGUCGCCAGGGCAACAGCGAUAACAGCCCCGAGUUUUUUUUUCAUUUCUUUGUCAGAUUAUUGUCCAGAAUUACUUAUCUUUCUCCCGAGAAGGUCAAAGUCACACAACAACAAGAUGUUCUUCCUUCUCCUUCCCAAAGCGCUGUCCUCUGAGGAGCAUUAGGCUCACAGAGACGGCCUGUACGCCACGAUACUCUGGUGGUGAUCAGAAAUCACUGGUCAACACCACACUAGUGAUCCAUCCCGUCCUAAAGGCUCCUGUCGCUCCUCGAUCACGUCCUGGUUCUGAGCAGGCGAACUGCGACACCCAGCGGCGGAAUGGGCGACCAGCAGGUGAUCAGCGAUCCCCAGCGGCGGAACGGGUGGCCAGCAGGCGAACAACGACACCCAGCGGCGGGACGGGAGACCAGCAGCGGCAGUAGAGUUCGGACCGUCUGAUAAGAAUGAACACUUCCUACAAGUGAGGAAAUCUUCACGAGUUUAAUUAGGCCUACUAGUUGUUUGGAAAAUAUUACUAGCUCGCAGAUUGCUGAUGGGUUAUACAACUAGUGUUUGAAAAUCACAAAUGGAAUAUGCAUAAUCCUAAUAGCCGUGAGAAAGUGUUUAUUCAAAAUCAUUAGAGGUCAUAAGUUCGCUACUUUGGUUCCUGCCCAGGAAGUCA
ensembl:lncRNA